GAGUGGAUGUUCACUCGGUCAUGCAGAUUUAUAUCAUCACCGGGUAAACAUUCAUCCGG
rnacentral:pre_miRNA from 1 species